GCAUAUCAUCUGGGAGCAGUGGCAUACUAGCCGGCGAGGCUCUAUUAACAGUGCCAGUUCUACCAGCAGUGACUCUUCUGCAGUUAGCCAGAAGAGCACAGCAUCUAGCAGAAAAAUGAGCACUGCUGCCAAUGUUCCCUCUUCUUCCUCCACAUCCAAGAGGAAGACCAGUGUUAAGUAGGUGAGGUACAGCUUCUCAACCAUGUUGUCCCUCGGGUCAUUUAGGCCUUCAUAGCUGUGACAGUCAGCAAUGCAACAGGCACCCUUGUGAUACCACUAUACACUAUGUGAUCAUGCCCAGGCAGCUAAUGACAACGUCACAGAAGCACCCAGGCAAGCAGUGGGCAAUGAACUCACUGCCCUGUGACCAGCUCCCCUCACUAUGUACACCUAAACAGUCGCUGUAUAAACAUAUGCAGGGCUGUCCAGCUGUGAUUUUACCUACUUACGCGUGCUCAAUUGUUAUGUAUGGAAUCUUGCCCUCUUAAAGCAGUGAUAUUAUUUAUGUUUUAACAAGAUGUUUUCUGUGGUAAUGUGGAGUGACACCACAUCAUUAUGGGUUCAGAGGUAUAGAAUAACAGAAACACUACAUGAUAUAUGAUCAAAAUGUUAUCACAGGUACCAGUUAUAUCUGAUAAUUAUUAUUUAUCAGGGUUAUACCUGUAAGAAUGUACCAUGCGGUACAGAUUAACAAGUGUUUUGAUAAUGAAAUGAUAUGUAAAUAUGAUGGAUCAGUGAAAAUCCCAAGAAUUAUUGUAAAACCUUUUGCCUCCUGAAGGGCUAGCCACAGUAUUUUUUAUGAGAUUAGUUUUGCUAAGUGAUGUACAUAUAUUUUGUAUGAAGAGCUAUAUAGUGUUGAUUUCUGUGUUGUUUCCAUGCCUAAUCACUGUGGCUGUGUCUGUGUAUUGGAUUGUCAGGAAUGGUUUUCACUUGCCCUGGACUUUCAGUAUUAUUAUGAUUAUUUUGUGCCAUUUGUUUCUGAUUUCAUCAUACAUGUAAGCACCCAACUCAAACCUUAAGUGUGGUAUAUUCAGCGUCCUUUGGUUAGCAGAGACAAUUGUGAAUAACAUACCAAUCAGUAUAACCGUUCAUAGUUCAGUGUAUUCAAUAAAUUGUAUAUAGCCAUCUGAAAAUAUCCAUUAAAUGGACAGUCUUCACUUCUUUAUAUACAUUUCUAGCCAGUCAUUUCAAAAAGCAAUGCCAUCAAUGGUAUUCUGGUUUCACUUUAUUGUAGGUUUUGGAAUUUAAGGAAGGUACAUAAAACCUUGUCGUGGAUACAUCCAUUAAGUCUACUGGUAUUAAAGCACUGUUCCUGUUGCUUUUGAAAGUUGUUUGAAAGAAAACCCAUUCAUAUUAUGCUUUUUUUUUGUUAUUUUCACUGGUAACAUGCAGACAUUGAAUAAAGUUAAUUGUAGGUUUGUAAUUUCAUAUGUUGAGGAUUGCAGUACGGUGGUGUUGUGUACAACGUACAUGUACACUGAAUCUAAUCUUUAAGGCCAUGUAAAGGUUAAUCUGGGCAAGCGUUUCCUGGAAGUAUAUAUUUCUAUCAUGUAGCCACAUGUUCAAAGUUUCAAAUAAUUGGUUAUUGAUUAGUUUGAUACAUUGUCAAACAUCUAGGACACCAGCUGUGCAUUUAAAUUGCCAUCAGAUUCCGUGACAACUGAGUUGACCGACACAAAUACUGACCUUGCAAACCGGGGCUACAGGUAUUCUGAUGUGUGCUAAACCUGAAUGAUUCAUGAGGGCACAUCUUUGACAAUUCUCAAUGAACUGUACUUAUUCCCAUAUUUCAUGUAAGUGCCUUGUUUUCAUUCUGUAGACCAUAAAUUUGUUUUCCUGUUGUAUAUAUAUAUUUUGUAAAUGGGUCUGUCUUUAUAAGACAUCAUGCAGAGAUGUCUUUAAUAUACCUGAGGUUUCCUGCUUGGUUGUCAGCCUGGAUCAAAUUUAUAACCAACACACUUUGUUGGAGACACAGCAUUAGCAGUGUUGAAUAUAUGAUAGAAGUUGCAAUGGCUUCAUUGGCAAUCUUCAGUGUUGGUAUGAAUCUACGAAGUAAAAUAAUCUGCAAAUGCGAAAUCUCUCAGGAACAAGGCUGGUUCUGACAUGUGGGAAAAUCUGCCAGCACUCAGUAUACUGAAUUAUUAGGAUUAACAUACUCACAGCUUCUGGCGAGAAACAGACAGCACUGGAACGUGUAAGAAACGGUUAAUGCUGGAAAAGUACUUUGUACGCUUUUUUUACGCUGACUUGUAUCAAACGUUUUGGCUAUCUGGCACAGAUUAGUUUCAGAGAUUGUUGUUUUCUGGAAUGUGCUUUACAGCUUCUCGUAAACCUCAGAGGAUGUGAGCAGUUAUAGAUUUGGUUUGAUUUUGUCUGGAUAUUAUCUUUCACUCUCGAAGAUUACAUACGGUUAGAUUCUUGGAGCCAUUAUUCUCUGAUACCUCCCUCCUUCACCCAGCUACAUCAUAGAGACAAACUUCGCGGUACUCUAUCAUUCAUGUUAAUAUGCACCGGCUGGGUUUGUGGUACAACGCUCUACUUGAGCCACGACCAGGUUGUAUUGGCCAUGUCAAAUAAACAGGUAUUUAAAGA